ACAUUUGGCGCGGGGUCCUCAAAGGACAUCAUACCACUCUUCAUAAGCUUUUGAACCUCAUACUUCAAUGGAUAACAGUUUUCAAUAUCAUGUUCGGGUGCUCCUUGGUGAAAAGCACAACAGAGUUUAGGUUUUUACCACCAGGGAAGUGGUUCUGGGAUCUGCGGUGGGUUUCUCGGUUGAAUUAAGUUAUUGAGAACUAGCGAGGGAUACAACUCUGCAUACGACAUAGGAAUCAGGUCAAAAGAG
rnacentral:lncRNA from 1 species